rnacentral:pre_miRNA from 1 species
AAUAUACGCCCUCCGUCUCCAAAUUCUUGUCUUAGAUUUGUCUAAGUACGAAGGUAUCUAGUCACAUUUCAGUAUUUAGAUAUAUCCAUUUCUAAACAGACAUAAGACAAAAAAAUUGGGAUGGAUGGAGUAUUAU